rnacentral:lncRNA from 12 species
AGCAAUAACAUUAUUUUUUCAUUGUAUGCACAUUAUUUUCUUUUUUUUUUCCAGGUGGCCACUGGACAGACUUCUCAUUUAUUUAAACACACAGAUCAGAAAAACUCUGAGAAAAAGAAUGAAGGCAUUGCUGGUCAAAGCAGUGGUGCUUAUCUUCUUGAGAAGGAUGAAGAUGCUGAAGAUGGUGCCAAGGAUCCUGUAACAGUUAGAGGAGCUUAUGCAUCUUUAAUCUACCUGAGACACCUCAGGAUCAGAGAACUUAAGCGUACCUGUCUGAGCAUGCUAAACUACCUGCGGUCAGUGGAGAGGACUCUGGUGAUGGACACCGCUGGUCUGGAGUUGGUUGGAGGAGAUCUGGUGAGAAGUAUGGAGGAGACAGGCUGGAUGAAUGCUGCUAGAGGAGACGAUGGCUCAAACGGAGCUCUUGGAUCACAUCACUACAUCUACAACAGCCCAGUUGACUAUAAGGUUCCUUACUUGCAGAUUCAUGCAGUGUUUUAAGGAAAAAACAAUGCUAUGUGAAAAGCAGAGAGUGUUAAAUCUCUGCUCUGCUUUAGGUCCACUGUGCAGAGUUUAUGGAGUUUCCUGAGGUGGAGAACCUCCAUGACUAUUACAGCACAGACGGGAGCUGCAUCCACACACAGGACCAGCGAGGUCUCUACAUCAUCUAUGACGUGGCCCUGAUGGACCUGGAGGAGCUGGAGCAACAUCUGCUGCUCACAGCAUCUCAUUUCAUACAAAGGAGCAGAGGUCAGGACAGAAGCUCUUGUAUGCUCUUUACUGUGGAUUUUUAUCCUUAAAUAUGCAAAUUUUCUACUAGCAUAUAUAUGUUUAAAACUCUUUUUAUGACUCACUCAUAUAUUGCAAUGACAUUUGCAACAAGC